rnacentral:rRNA from 1 species
GAUGAACGCUGACAGAAUGCUUAACACAUGCAAGUCUACUUGAUCCUUCGGGUGAAGGUGGCGGACGGGUGAGUAACGCGUAAAGAACUUGCCUUACAGACUGGGACAACAUUUGGAAACGAAUGCUAAUACCGGAUAUUAUGACUGAGUCGCAUGAUUUGGUUAUGAAAGCUAUAUGCGCUGUGAGAGAGCUUUGCGUCCCAUUAGUUAGUUGGUGAGGUAACGGCUCACCAAGACGAUGAUGGGUAGCCGGCCUGAAGGGUGAACGGCCACAAGGGGACUGAGACACGGCCCUUACUCCUACGGGAGGCAGCAGUGGGGAAUAUUGGACAAUGGACCAAAAGUCUGAUCCAGCAAUUCUGUGUGCACGAUGAAGUUUUUCGGAAUGUAAAGUGCUUUCAGUUGGGAAGAAGUCAGUGACGGUACCAACAGAAGAAGCGACGGCUAAAUACGUGCCAGCAGCCGCGGUAAUACGUAUGUCGCAAGCGUNAUCCGGAUUUAUUGGGCGUAAAGCGCGUCUAGGCGGUUAGUAAGUCUGAUGUGAAAAUGCGGGGUCAACCCGUAUUGCGUUGGACACUGUANAUAGAGUACUGGAGAGGUAGGCGGAAUACAAGUGUAAAGGUGAAA